GGUUUUAAUUACAUAUUAUUUUGAAAAUAAUAUAAGAAAUCAAAAGUUUUCUAAAACCU
rnacentral:tRNA from 1 species